rnacentral:rRNA from 1 species
UGGGGAAUAUUGCACAAUGGGCGCAAGCCUGAUGCAGCCAUGCCGCGUGUGUGAAGAAGGCCUUCGGGUUGUAAAGCACUUUCAGCGGGGAGGAAGGCGAUAAGGUUAAUAACCUUGUCGAUUGACGUUACCCGCAGAAGAAGCACCGGCUAACUCCGUGCCAGCAGCCGCGGUAAUACGGAGGGUGCAAGCGUUAAUCGGAAUUACUGGGCGUAAAGCGCACGCAGGCGGUCUGUCAAGUCGGAUGUGAAAUCCCCGGGCUCAACCUGGGAACUGCAUACGAAACUGGCAGGCUAGAGUCUUGUAGAGGGGGGUAGAAUUCCAGGUGUAGCGGUGAAAUGCGUAGAGAUCUGGAGGAAUACCGGUGGCGAAGGCGGCCCCCUGGACAAAGACUGACGCUCAGGUGCGAAAGCGUGGGGAGCAAACAGG